rnacentral:rRNA from 1 species
UGUGCUAGCGAUUGGAAAUGCUAGUCUAAGCGUUUAGGCAGUUACGGUAGGCAAAUCCGCUGUAAUGUUAAUGCUGAGGCGUGAUGGGGAAGGCCCUUGAGGCUGAAGUACAUGAUUCCAUGCUUCCAAGAAAAGCAUCUAGAGAGAGAAGUAGUGCCCGUACCGCAAACCGACACAGGUAGAUGAGGAGAGAAUCCUAAGGCCGGCGGAAGAAUUGCAGUUAAGGAACUAGGCAAAUUGACCCCGUAAGUUAGCGAGAAGGGGUGCCUACGAGAGUAGGCCGCAGAGAAUAGGCCCAAGCAACUGUUUAGCAAAAACACAAGUCUCUGCUAAAGCGCAAGCUGAUGUAUAGGGGCUGACGCCUGCCCGGUGCUGGAAGGUUAAGGGGAACACUUAGCGCAAGCGAAGGUGUGAACUUAAGCCCCAGUAAACGGCGGCCGUAACUAUAACGGUCCUAAGGUAGCGAAAUUCCUUGUCAGGUAAGUUCUGACCCGCACGAAUGGCGUAAUGACUUGGGCACUGUCUCAACUGCAAAUCCGGCGAAGUUGUAGUGCGAGUGAAGAUGCUCGCUACCCGCGAUUGGACGGAAAGACCCCGUAGAGCUUUACUGUAGCUUAGCAUUGAAUUCCGGUAUUGUCUGUACAGGAUAGGUGGGAGACUGGGAAACUAGGGCGUCAGCCUUAGUGGAGUCAUCCUUGGGAUACCACCCUGACAGUACUGGGGUUCUAACAGGAUGCCAUGAAUCUGGUGACUGGACAUUGUUAGGUGGGCAGUUUGACUGGGGCGGUCGCCUCCUAAAAAGUAACGGAGGCGCCCAAAGGUUCCCUCAGAACGGUCGGAAAUCGUUCGUAGAGUGCAAAGGCAGAAGGGAGCCUGACUGCGAGACCUACAAGUCGAGCAGGGACGAAAGUCGGGCUUAGUGAUCCGGUGGUACCUCGUGGGAGGGCCAUCGCUCAACGGAUAAAAGCUACCUCGGGGAUAACAGGCUGAUCUCCCCCAAGAGUCCACAUCGACGGGGAGGUUUGGCACCUCGAUGUCGGCUCGUCGCAUCCUGGGGCUGUAGUAGGUCCCAAGGGUUGGGCUGUUCGCCCAUUAAAGCGGCACGCGAGCUGGGUUCAGAACGUCGUGAGACAGUUCGGUCCCUAUCCGUCGCGGGCGUAGGAAAUUUGAGAGGAGCUGUCCUUAGUACGAGAGGACCGGGAAGGACUGACCUCUGGUGCACCAGUUGUUCUGCCAAGAGCAUGGCUGGGUAGCUAAGUCGGGAAGGGAUAAACGCUGAAAGCAUCUAAGCGUGAAGCCUCCCUCAAGAUUAGAUUUCCCAUAGUCGAAAGACUAGUAAGACCCCUUGAAGAACACGAGGUUGAUAGGUCAGAGGUGUAAGUGUGGUAACAUAUUUAGCUGACUGAUACUAAUAGGUCGAGGGCUUGACCGA